AGUGAACGCUGGCGGUAGGCCUAACACAUGCAAGUCGAACGGCAGCACAGUAAGAGCUUGCUCUUACGGGUGGCGAGUGGCGGACGGGUGAGGAAUACAUCGGAAUCUACUUUUUCGUGGGGGAUAACGUAGGGAAACUUACGCUAAUACCGCAUACGACCUACGGGUGAAAGCAGGGGAUCUUCGGACCUUGCGCGAUUGAAUGAGCCGAUGUCGGAUUAGCUAGUUGGCGGGGUAAAGGCCCACCAAGGCGACGAUCCGUAGCUGGUCUGAGAGGAUGAUCAGCCACACUGGAACUGAGACACGGUCCAGACUCCUACGGGAGGCAGCAGUGGGAAAUAUUGGACAAUGGGCGCAAGCCUGAUCCAGCCAUACCGCGUGGGUGAAGAAGGCAUUCGGGUUGUAAAGCCCUUUUGUUGGGAAAGAAAAGCAGCAGGUUAAUACCCCGCUGUUCCGACGGUACCCAAAGAAUAAGCACCGGCUAACUUCGUG
rnacentral:rRNA from 1 species